rnacentral:rRNA from 1 species
AAAUUGAAGAGUUUGAUCAUGGCUCAGAUUGAACGCUGGCGGCAGGCCUAACACAUGCAAGUCGAGCGGUAGCACAGAGAGCUUGCUCUCGGGUGACGAGCGGCGGACGGGUGAGUAAUGUCUGGGAAACUGCCUGAUGGAGGGGGAUAACUACUGGAAACGGUAGCUAAUACCGCAUAAUGUCGCAAGACCAAAGUGGGGGACCUUCGGGCCUCAUGCCAUCAGAUGUGCCCAGAUGGGAUUAGCUAGUAGGUGGGGUAACGGCUCACCUAGGCGACGAUCCCUAGCUGGUCUGAGAGGAUGACCAGCCACACUGGAACUGAGACACGGUCCAGACUCCUACGGGAGGCAGCAGUGGGGAAUAUUGCACAAUGGGCGCAAGCCUGAUGCAGCCAUGCCGCGUGUGUGAAGAAGGCCUUCGGGUUGUAAAGCACUUUCAGCGGGGAGGAAGGCGUUAAGGUUAAUAACCUUGGCGAUUGACGUUACCCGCAGAAGAAGCACCGGCUAACUCCGUGCCAGCAGCCGCGGUAAUACGGAGGGUGCAAGCGUUAAUCGGAAUUACUGGGCGUAAAGCGCACGCAGGCGGUCUGUCAAGUCGGAUGUGAAAUCCCCGGGCUCAACCUGGGAACUGCAUUCGAAACUGGCAGGCUAGAGUCUUGUAGAGGGGGGUAGAAUUCCAGGUGUAGCGGUGAAAUGCGUAGAGAUCUGGAGGAAUACCGGUGGCGAAGGCGGCCCCCUGGACAAAGACUGACGCUCAGGUGCGAAAGCGUGGGGAGCAAACAGGAUUAGAUACCCUGGUAGUCCACGCCGUAAACGAUGUCGAUUUGGAGGUUGUGCCCUUGAGGCGUGGCUUCCGGAGCUAACGCGUUAAAUCGACCGCCUGGGGAGUACGGCCGCAAGGUUAAAACUCAAAUGAAUUGACGGGGGCCCGCACAAGCGGUGGAGCAUGUGGUUUAAUUCGAUGCAACGCGAAGAACCUUACCUGGUCUUGACAUCCACAGAACUU